rnacentral:tRNA from 1 species
GGGAGUGUAGCUCAGUGGUAGAGCGCUUGCCUAGCACUCAUAAAGGGCUUAGGCUCAAUCCCCAGCACCACCA